CGUUGUGUUCAUUCAGACCAGUGUUAGCCACUCAGCUAGAUGGCCUGACUUGAGCAUGAAAAUAAACUGCAGAAUUUAAAAACCUUAAGGAUGCUUUUCCCACAGAGGAAGUAUUGAAACUGACAUCGUCAUAGAAAACAUGGAUUUUUCCAGUCCCCCUUGACUUAUGGAAGGGGUAUUUAUUUUUUUUUAUCUGGAACAUAUUUUCUCUGGACCUUGACAGUGACAUUGCGGGAUUCCUCUCCAGUACUGCUGCUGCUGUCUGUGUGACCCUGACUUCCCUUGGCCCCCGUUUGCUUUAUAAAGCUGGUCUCCUCAGAGUAUCUGGGCUAGACCGAGGCAAAGUGGUCUGGGAAUGUGGUUGUUCAGGUUCAGGUGGUCCUGAGUGGCUAUUUCACUGGAUUGGGCCUGAGCUUUGCUGAGAGCCAUCUGAUUGGGAAACUUCAACAGGGACAGGAGUGUCAACUAUCAUUUCUUGAAUCAAGACUUUCAGGGGGUGUCAGCUGGCUAUAAGUUUAGGGAUAAUUGCUACUCUUCAAAUCGGUGCUUGUUCUAAGGGAAACUACUGAAAGUUUAAAGUCAGCCAUUGGCUAGUUAGGCUAAAAGACCAGGGAGGUACCAGCUCUCAGUGUGGUGGACAUAACACUGUGAGCUCAUGGGCAUUUUACUAACGCAAAGAUGUUCUGAGGGCAGAAGAAAAGUGGAACCAGAUUGUAGAGGAGAUUGGUUGGACCCAUCAGAUGUCUUGGGCCCGUCUCUCAUCUAGUUGCUUGGACCCACCUAUACAAUCUGAUUCUCUCUUUGAACCAAUGAUUUUUUCCCUUCUGCCCUCAGAGCAUUUUUGUGCAAGUAAAACUCCCACAAGAACAUAGAGAUGAAAAGCAGGCAAGGAGAUCCUGAGUUGUGCUACACCCCAUUGUACACUUGCUAGUUAUGGAAGCCAAGUUUUUCCUAUUCCAAAAAGUGUUCCAUCUUUUCAAGGGUGAAGCGGCUGUGAGCCACAGAAUACAAUAACUACUCGGUCUACUCCAACCCUCCCUGCUCUCUUUCGUGGAGGAAUCUACAGUAGACUAUGAAUUUACUUUACUCCGUAAGAAGAAAUGGUCCGGCAUAUGAUGAGGCCCUUUGUUUAGGACACAAGUGAAGGUAGGACGAGUCACCUUGGCUGGGUGCACUCGCCCCUUCAGCGGCUGGGUCCUGUAGAGGCUCCCUGGUGGCCGGGCCCCUGUGAGCUGCCCGUGACAGCUGCCUGACGUUAUUCUCAGCCUGGACCCUCUCCAGCUCCAAGCGGCGCAUCUUCUCCUGAAGGUUCAAGUCGCCGACAUCGGAGGCGCCCUUGGCGGACAGAGGAGGAGGGAUCCGGUCCGGUGGCAGAUGGAAGCUUCCAAGAUAGCUGUGCUUCAAGGGCGACGCCAGACUUCGUCUCUAA